AGCCCCUCGCCCGCUCCUGUUGCUCGCAACGGGAGCUAGGGCGGUUCCUGGCAGAUGGGCCGCGCCAGUGCGCCCACCGCUGAAUUACAUCGGCAGACCCUUCAUGGCUGUGAUUGUGAUAAGAAUUUACUUACAAUUGCCUGUCUGACUGGUGUCUCGCCGCAACCUGCCUGCGGACCCUCCACGGGGACCUCGCGGCGCUACCAAAUC
rnacentral:misc_RNA from 1 species